rnacentral:rRNA from 1 species
GACGAACGCUGGCGGCGUGCUUAACACAUGCAAGUCGAACGAUGAACCCGGAGCUUGCUCCGGUGGAUUAGUGGCGAACGGGUGAGUAACACGUGAGUAACCUGCCCUUGACUCUGGGAUAACUGCGGGAAACUGUCGCUAAUACCGGAUACGACCCUCGGCGGCAUCGCCAGGGGGUGGAAAGAAUUUCGGGCAAGGAUGGACUCGCGGCCGAUCAGCUAGUUGGUGAGGUAGCGGCUCACCAAGGCGACGACGGGUAGCCGGCCUGAGAGGGUGACCGGCCACACUGGGACUGAGACACGGCCCAGACUCCUACGGGAGGCAGCAGUGGGGAAUAUUGCACAAUGGGCGCAAGCCUGAUGCAGCAACGCCGCGUGAGGGAUGACGGCCUUCGGGUUGUAAACCUCUUUUAGUAGGGAAGAAGCGAAAGUGACGGUACCUGCAGAAAAAGCACCGGCUAACUACGUGCCAGCCGCCGCCGUAA